rnacentral:rRNA from 1 species
AGAGUUUGAUCAUGGCUCAGGACGAACGCUGGCGGCGUGCUUAACACAUGCAAGUCGAGCGGAAAGGCCCCUUUCGGGGGGUGCUCGAGUGGCGAACGGGUGAGUAACACGUGGGUGAUCUGCCCUGCACUUCGGGAUAAGCUUGGGAAACUGGGUCUAAUACCGGAUAGGACCGCAUGCUGCAUGGUGUGUGGUGGAAAGCGUUUUAGUGGUGUGGGAUGGGCCCGCGGCCUAUCAGCUUGUUGGUGGGGUGAUGGCCUACCAAGGCGACGACGGGUAGCCGGCCUGAGAGGGUGUCCGGCCACACUGGGACUGAGAUACGGCCCAGACUCCUACGGGAGGCAGCAGUGGGGAAUAUUGCACAAUGGGCGCAAGCCUGAUGCAGCGACGCCGCGUGGGGGAUGACGGCCUUCGGGUUGUAAACCUCUUUCACCAUCGACGAAGGCCUGCUUUUGGGUGGGUUGACGGUAGGUGGAGAAGAAGCACCGGCCAACUACGUGCCAGCAGCCGCGGUAAUACGUAGGGUGCGAGCGUUGUCCGGAAUUACUGGGCGUAAAGAGCUCGUAGGUGGUUUGUCGCGUUGUUCGUGAAAUUCCCUGGCUUAACUGGGGGCGUGCGGGCGAUACGGGCAGACUGGAGUACUGCAGGGGAGACUGGAAUUCCUGGUGUAGCGGUGGAAUGCGCAGAUAUCAGGAGGAACACCGGUGGCGAAGGCGGGUCUCUGGGCAGUAACUGACGCUGAGGAGCGAAAGCGUGGGGAGCGAACAGGAUUAGAUACCCCGGUAGUCC